rnacentral:rRNA from 1 species
UAGCGUAGGGGGCAAGCGUUGUCCGGAUUCAUUGGGCGUAAAGAGCGUGUAGGCGGCCAGGUAGGUCGGUUGUGAAAACUGGAGGCUCAACCUUCAGAGGUCGACCGAAACCAUCUGGCUAGAGUCCGGGAGAGGAGAGUGGAAUUCCUGGUGUAGCGGUGAAAUGUGCAGAUAUCAGGAGGAACACCGGUGGCGAAGGCGGUUCUCUGGGCAUUACCUGACGCUGAGGAGCGAAAGUGUGGGGAGCGAACAGG